CACUGGAAAUAUUUUCCAUCCCCGCACACCAGCAGGGCAGAGGCUUCCUUUCUGUUGCUUAGAAGCAUUUCCUCAUGGCAAGCACAGCUGACUCGGAGUAAUAGGACUCCAUGAAAAUGUACUGCAAACCAGCUUGCAGUGGAAGUAUACCAUCUUCUCUUUCACCUAAGAAAUGUGUUUCUGUGACUCGUGACACCAUGCUUAGACAGCCUCGACAGGCAGCUGAACUGGGGUGCCUUCUUCACAUAGGUCUGACUUCUAAGUAAGCUCUGUGAAAAGAAAAA